UUACGGCCAUAUCGCGUUGAAACGGCUGUUCUCGUACGAUCCCCGAAGUUAAGCAACGUCGAGCCUGGUCAUACCUAGAUGACUGACCACUUGAGAAUACCAGGUGCUGUAAG